CGGAGGGGGCUAGCGUUGUUCGGAAUUACUGGGCGUAAAGCGCACGUAGGCGGCUUUGUAAGUUAGAGGUGAAAGCCCAGGGCUUAACCCUGGAAUUGCCUUUAAGACUGCAUCGCUAGAAUCGUGGAGAGGUAAGUGGAAUUCCGAGUGUAGAGGUGAAAUUCGUAGAUAUUCGGAAGAACACCAGUGGCGAAGGCGACUUACUGGACACGUAUUGACGCUGAGGUGGCGAAAGCGUGGGGAGCAAACAGG
rnacentral:rRNA from 1 species